ACAAAAUUAUAAUUGCACCAACUAUUUCAAAACUAAAAUUGUUGUUUCAAAUAUAUCCAAAUUCCAUUAAAAUUAGCUGUUACAAAUUACUCAGAAAUACCAAAUCAUAUAGUUAUUUGUUUUCUUAUCUCACAAUAAUAAAUGAUUAAUUAUUUUUACAAAGAUUUUAAAAAAAGUGUUUUUUUUUCCUAUUAUCUAACCUAUUAUUUUUCUAUUUAUUUUAAAAUUUAUAUCUUGCAAGCCUGUAUUUAAAAGAACACAAAUAAAUUCAUUCAUAGAUGUAACAUAUUUUCCUUAUUUUCCAGAUAUUUUACUGGAUUAUAAAAUGAACUUAAAUGCCUUUAAUCUAAUGAACAAUACAAAUGUUAGUUUCUGAUGCUGAUAUUGUCGGUUCAUUUUUGAAUGUUCAAAGAGACAUGCAAGACUGUUCCGUCGAAAGAA